GCCUAACACAUGCAAGUCGAACGGAAGCAAAGAUUUCGGUUUUUGCUUUAGUGGCGAACGGGUGAGUAACGCGUGAGGAACCUGCCUUUCAGUGGGGGACAACAGUUGGAAACGACUGCUAAUACCGCAUAAUGCUUUUGAGUGGCAUCACUUAAAAGCCAAAAAAUUUAUUGCUGAAAGAUGGCCUCGCGUCUGAUUAGCUAGUUGGCGGGGUAACGGCCCACCAAGGCGACGAUCAGUAGCCGGUCUGAGAGGAUGAACGGCCACAUUGGGACUGAGAUACGGCCCAGACUCCUACGGGAGGCAGCAGUGGGGAAUAUUGGGCAAUGGGGGAAACCCUGACCCAGCAACGCCGCGUGAAGGAAGAAGGCCUUCGGGCUGUAAACUUCUUUUACCAGGGGCGAAAGAAAUGACGGUACCUGGAGAAAAAGCAACGGCUAACUACGUGCCAGCAGCCGCGGUAAUACGUAGGUUGCGAGCGUUGUCCGGAUUUACUGGGUGUAAAGGGCGUGUAGGCGGAGAUGCAAGUUGGGAGUGAAAUCCAUGGGCUCAACCCAUGAACUGCUUCCAAAACUGUAUCCCUUGAGUAUCGGAGAGGCAAGCGGAAUUCCUAGUGUAGCGGUGAAAUGCGUAGAUAUUGGGAGGAACACCAGUGGCGAAGGCGGCUUGCUGGACGACAACUGACGCUGAGGCGCGAAAGCGUGGGGAGCAAACAGGAUUAGAUACCCUGGUAGUCCACGCUGUAAACGAUCAAAAAGGGGUGUGGGAGGGACUGCCCCCUUCCGUGCCGCAGUUAACACAAUAAGUAUUCCACUUGGGGAGUACGACCGCAAGGUUGAAACUCAAAGGAAUUGACGGGGGCCCGCACAAGCAGUGGAUUAUGUGGUUUAAUUCGACGCAACGCGAAGAACCUUACCAGGACUUGACAUCCAACUAACGAAGCAGAGAUGCAUCAGGUGCCCUUCGGGGAAAGUUGAGACAGGUGGUGCAUGGUUGUCGUCAGCUCGUGUCGUGAGAUGUUGGGUUAAGUCCCGCAACGAGCGCAACCCCUAUUGUUAGUUGCUACGAAAGAGCACUCUAGCGAGACUGCCGUUGACAAAACGGAGGAAGGCGGGGACGACGUCAAAUCAUCAUGCCCCUUAUGUCCUGGGCUACACACGUAAUACAAUGGUGGAAAACAGAGGGAAGCAAAGCCGCGAGGCAGAGCAAAACCCUAAAAGCCAUCUCAGUUCGGAUUGCAGGCUGCAACUCGCCUGCAUGAAGCUGGAAUUGCUAGUAAUCGCGGAUCAGAAUGCCGCGGUGAAUACGUUCCCGGGCCUUGCACA
rnacentral:rRNA from 1 species